rfam:Gossypium hirsutum cultivar TM-1 unplaced genomic scaffold scaffold799.1, whole genome shotgun sequence
UAUUAAAAAUUUCAUUUAAUUCUAUUAUUAAAAACUAGCGUGACUGAUAAAAUAACUAGACAGUUACACGUGACAUGCCACGUGUACCUCAUUCUAACGUACAAGGACCAGUUUUUAAUAGUAGAAAUAGAUGAAAUUUUCAAUU